rnacentral:rRNA from 1 species
AACGAACGCUGGCGGCAUGCCUAACACAUGCAAGUCGAACGAGACCUUCGGGUCUAGUGGCGCACGGGUGCGUAACGCGUGGGAACCUGCCCUUAGGUUCGGAAUAACUCCCCGAAAGGGGUGCUAAUACCGGAUAAUGUCUUCGGACCAAAGAUUUAUCGCCUUUGGAUGGGCCCGCGUUGGAUUAGCCAGUUGGUAGGGUAAAAGCCUACCAAGGCGACGAUGCAUAGCUGGUCUGAGAGGAUGAUCAGCCACACUGGGACUGAGACACGGCCCAGACUCCUACGGAAGGCAGCAGUGGGGAAUAUUGGACAAGGGGCGAAAGCCUGAUCCAGCAAUGCCGCGUAAGUGAUGAAGGCCUUAGGGUUGUAAAGCUCUUUUACCCGGGAUGAUAAUGACGGUACCGGGAGAAUAAGCACCGGCUAACUCCGUG